GGACAGGUGGCCGAGUGGUUGAAGGCGCACGCCUGGAGAGCGUGUGUACGCCAAAAGCGUAUCGUGGGUUCGAAUCCCACCCUGUCCG
rnacentral:tRNA from 1 species